AACGAACGCUGGAGGCAUGCCUAACACAUGCCAGUCGAACGAGACCUUCGGGUCUAGUGGCGCACGGGUGCGUAACGCGUGGGAACCUGCCCUUAGGUUCGGAAUAACUCCCCGAAAGGGGUGCUAAUACCGGAUAAUGUCUUCGGACCAAAGAUUUAUCGCCUUUGGAUGGGCCCGCGUUGGAUUAGCUAGUUGGUAGGGUAAAAGCCUACCAAGGCGACGAUCCAUAGCUGGUCUGAGAGGAUGAUCAGCCACACUGGGACUGAGACACGGCCCAGACUCCUACGGGAGGCAGCAGUGGGGAAUAUUGGACAAUGGGCGAAAGCCUGAUCCAGCAAUGCCGCGUGAGUGAUGAAGGCCUUAGGGUUGUAAAGCUCUUUUACCCGGGAUGAUAAUGACAGUACCGGGAGAAUAAGCUCCGGCUAACUCCGUG
rnacentral:rRNA from 1 species